rnacentral:rRNA from 1 species
GACGAACCGUGCGAACGUUAUUCGGAAUCACUGGGCUUAAAGCGCGUGUAGGCGGGCCGGCACGUCGGUCGCUGAAAUCCCCCGGCUCAACCGGGGAAGGGGCGCCGAUACGACCGGCCUGGAGGGGCGUAGGGGGACCGGGAACUUCCGGUGGAGCGGUGAAAUGCUUAGAUAUGACAUAGAACACCAAUUGCGAAGGCAGCUCACUACACGAAUAUUGACACUGAGGCACGAAAGCGUGGGGAUCAAACAGG